UUAAGGGCGUAUGGCGGAUGCCUUGACUUGAGAAGGCGAUGAAGGACGCGGCGUAGCUGCGAUAAGCUUCGGGGAGGUGCCUAGCAACCUUUGAUCCGGAGAUUUCCGAAUGGGGAAACCCAAUUGCGUAAACCGCAAUUAUUCCGAUGUUUAAUCGGAGAGCGAACCCGCUGAAGUGAAACAUCUCAGUAAGCGGAGGAACAGAAAACAAUAAUCGUAUUUCACUUUUGUCCAGACGAAGAUGGGCGAAAGCGAGAUGCGGUAAAAUUCCCUUAGUAGCGGCGAGCGAAAAGGGAGGAGCCCAAACUUUUUUUCGCAAGAAAAAAAGGGUUACAAGGUAAUAAGCUUUUGAGCAAUCGAAAGGAGAGUCCAAUCAACAAAGACUUCGUUAGCAAAAUCCGCUGGAAAGCGGAACCAAAGAGGGUGAUAGUCCCGUAAGCGAAAACGGUCUUUACUUUCUUGUCUUAUUAUUCUUAAGUAUUUCAAGAAACGACAAUCUUGAAGGAAAUCGGCUGAACUAUCAGCCAAGGCUAAAUACUUCUCAAGAUCGAUAGUGAACAAGUACCGCGAGGGAAAGGUGAAAAGCAGGCCGGUGAGGCCUUUGAAAUAGAAUCUGAAACCAUACGUUUACAAGGAGCCGAAGUCCGGAUCCAACGCAAGUUGGAUGGACGACGACGUGCCUAUUGAAGAAUGAGCCAACGAGUGUAUAGGUGCUGCUCUAGAUUAAGUUGCCUCAGGCAAUGAAGUCAUAGGGAAACCGAGUGUUAAUAGCGCGUUCGCAUCUCACUUUCUUUAAUAUUCUUUGGGCCGCAAGGCUUUAAGGAUUCUAAAGACAGGUGGGAUUGCAAGUAGUACUUAUACGACCCGAAGCCAGGGCGAGCUUAUCAUGGCCAGGUUGAACCUUGACGAAAGUUGAGGGGAGGACCGAACCGGUUGGUUGUGCAAAACCUUCGGAUGAGCUGUGGUAAGAAGUGAAAAGCUAAUCGAGCCUGGUAAUAGCUGGUUCUCCUCGAAAUAGUUUUGGGACUAGCGCUCAUUUUAUUUUCUUGCAGGUAGAGCUACUGGUUGAAGGGUAAAGGGAGAAAUCUCGACUCUUUAGUCAAACUCCGAAUGGCGAGGAAUCACAAAUGAGCAGUCAGACUACGGGGGCUAAGCUUCGUGGUCAAGAGGGCAUGAACCCUGAUCGUAAUCUAAGGUCCCUAAAUUUGGGUUAAGUGUAGAUAAGGUAGUGGUUAACCGAAGACAGAUAGGAGGUUGGCUUAGAGGUAGCCAUCCUUUAAAGAGUGUGUAACAACUCACUAUCAUAUCCGCCUUUGGCGGAUUGGUUGACCGCGCCGAAGAUGUAACGGGGCUAAACCCAAUACCGAAGAUACGAAUGUUGUCGCCUUUGGCGACAGCGUGGUAGAGGAGCAUUUCGUAUUCAUUGAAGCUCUAGCCGUGAGGCGGAGUGGAGGAUACGGAAGAGAGAAUGUUGGCAUGAGUAACCACAAAUUCGAUGAGAAAUCGAAUCGCCGUAAAUCCAAGGUUUCCGUGGCAAUGGCAAUCAGCCACGGGUUAGGCGACCCUAAGGCAAUGGCGAAAGCCGCAGCUGAUGGAUAGCUAGUUAAUAUUCUAGCCCCUCCAAUAGAUUUGAUGGAGUGACGGGGAAUACAAGAUUACGUGUCUUAUUGGUUUGAUAUCGCUUAUUUCAAGGAAUGCUUGUCAGGUAAAUCCGGCAAGCUGCCUUUAAUGGCGAAUUUCGGAGAUCGGCGGAAGGUCGCUUCGGUGGCCAACGUAAUUGAAGAGUCCUCCGAGAAAAACUUCUAAAAUUAGUUUAUUGGAGAUCGUACCGUAAACCGACACAGGUGGAUUGGUGUAAGUGCACCAAGGCGAACGGGUGAUCUGCCGUUAAGGAACUCGGCAAAAAAGCGGCCGUAAGUUCGCGAUAAGGCCUGCCCCGAUUAAUCUCGGGGCCGCAGCUAAAGAAUCUCUGGCAACUGUUUAAUAAAAACACAGGUUCCUGCUAACUCGUAAGAGGAUGUAUAGGAGCUGACGCCUGACCGAUGCGAGAAGGUCAAAGCCGUCGGUUUGUUCGUCGCAAGGCGGACAAGCUGAAUGGCUGAAGCCCUCGUCAAUGUCGGCGGUAACUAUAACCGUCCAAAGGUAGCGAAAUUCCUUGUCGGGUAAGUUCCGACGCGCAUGAAUGGCGUAAUGAUCAGAGAACUGUCUCAACGGCAAGCCCGGUGAAAAUGCGAUUCCAGCGAAGACGCUGGGUACCUGCGAUUAGACGAAAAGACCCCGGGAGCUUUACUGUAGCUUAGUAUUGGUCUUAAGUUGUUGUUGCGUAGCAUAGGUGGGAGGCUUUGAAGGUCCGAUUUCGGUUGGACUGGAGCCGUCAGUGAAAUACCACUCUGCAUCAACUUAAGCUCUAACCCCAAUGGCAAAAACAGUGGGGGACAGUGCUUGGUGGGCAGUUUUUCUGGGGCGGAAUCCUCCUAAAAUGUAACGGAGGAGUUUAUAAGGUCGGCUAGGUGCGGAUGGAAAUCGCACCGGUUGUGUAAAGGCAUAAGCCGGCUUAACUGCGAGGCUGACAAGCCAAGCUUCUUUAUAUCACUAUAAAGAACAUUUCUUGAUUUUAAUUGAGAAAUGAGAUGCGAAAGCAGAACUUAGUGACCCGAUGACUCUUUGUAGAAAGGUCAAAGACUUCGGACAAAAGCUACCCCGGGGAUAACAGGCUAGUCGGAUCCGAGAGUUCCUAUCGACGAUCCGGUUCGGCACCUCGAUGUCGGCUCAUCCUAGCGCGGGGCUGGAGAAGGUCCCAAGCGUUUGGCUGUUCGCCAAUUAAAAGGAUACGUGAGCUGGGUUUAAACCGUCAACUAAACUUGUUACUGUUAGCAAGUUUGGCGGCUUCUGGUAGUAAUACCAGAAUGUAGAAAUCGACUCAUAUCGGUGAAAUCCUAACAACAAUUGAAUUUCAACCUGUCGUAUGUUAGGAUAAUACCGAGGGAAGUUGUAUAUGUCUAAAAGUAUUUCGUCAACUCAAAAAGCUUAUUUAGCGGGUUUCUUGGAUGGGGAUGGAAGCAUUUAUGUGCGUUUGAAGCCGAAUCCUAGUUAUAGGUUUGGCUUC
rnacentral:rRNA from 1 species